CCUACGGGAGGCAGCAGUGAGGACUAUUGCUCACGUGCCGUAAGGCUGAACCCUCCCCUUCUCUUUCUUUCCUCCUUCCCUCUUUUUUUUCCCCCUCUUUUAUGCUGGGAUAAAGGUGUCCACGUGUGGAUGUUUGCAGGUACCGCAUGAAUAAGGACCGGCUAAUUCCGUGCCAGCAGCCGCGGUAAUACGGAAGGUCCGGGCGUUAUCCGGAUUUAUUGGGUUUAAAGGGAGCGUAGGCCGGUCUUUAGGCGUGCCGUGAAAUUUUGUGGCUCAACCAUGAGAGUGCGGCGCGAACUGGAGACCUUGAGUGCGCGGAAGGCAGGCGGAAUUCGUGGUGUAGCGGUGAAAUGCUUAGAUAUCACGAAGAACCCCGAUUGCGAAGGCAGCCUGCCGCAGCGUUACUGACGCUGAAGCUCGAAAGCGCGGGUAUCGAACAGGAUUAGAUACCCCAGUAGUC
rnacentral:rRNA from 1 species